rnacentral:rRNA from 1 species
AUUGAACGCUGGCGGCAGGCCUAACACAUGCAAGUCGAACGAGUGGCGGACGGGUGAGUAAUGUCUGGGAAACUUCCCGAUGGAGGGGGAUAACUACUGGAAACGGUAGCUAAUACCGCAUACCAUCGGAUCAGCCCAGAUGGGAUUAGCUAGUAGGUGGGGUAACGGCUCACCUAGGCGACGAUCCCUAGCUGGUCUGAGAGGAUGACGAGCCACACUGGAACUGAGACACGGUCAGGACUCCUACGGGAGGCAGCAGUGGGGAAUAUUGCACAAUGGGCGCAAGCCUGAUGCAGCCAUGCCGCGUGUAUGAAGAAGGCCUUAGGGUUGUAAAGUACUUUCAGCGAGGAGGCGUUACUCGCAGAAGAAGCACCGGCUAACUCCGUGCCAGCAGCCGCGGUAAUUC